UUGAAAUAUAUAUAAAGUCUAACCUGCCCACUGAAAUUUUUAAAUGGCCGCAGUAUUUUGACUGUGCAAAGGUAGCAUAAUCAUUAGUUUUUUAAUUAAAAGCUUGUAUGAAAGGUUGGACGAAGUAAAAUCUGUCUCUAUUUAAUUUAAAUUAGAAUUUAAUUUUUGAGUUAAAAAGCUUAAAUUUUUAUAAAAGACGAGAAGACCCUAUAGAACUUUAUAAUUUAUUUAAUAUAAUUAAUUAAGAUUUAUUUAAGUUUUAUUAUAUAUAAUUAUUUUAUUGGGGUAAUAAAAAGAUUAAAAAAAUUCUUUUUUUUUAUUAACAUUUAUUUAUGAUAAUAUUAUUAAUGAUCCAUUUUUAAUGAUUAUAAGAUUAAGUUACCUUAGGGAUAACAGCGUAAUUUUUUUAAAGAGUUCAUAUCGAUAAAAAAGUUUGCGACCUCGAUGUUGGAUUAAAGAUUAAUUUAGGUGUAGAAGUUUAAAUUUUUGGUCUGUUCGACCAUUAAAUCUUUACAUGAUCUGAGUUCAGACCGGUGUAAGCCAGGUCGGUUUCUAUCUUUAUUAAAUUUAAAUAUUUUAGUACGAAAGGACCAAAUAUUUGAUAUAUUAAUAUUUAUUUUUUGAAUAUUAUUAAUUAUUUUGGCAGAUUAGUGCAAUGAAUUUAGAAUUNAUAUAUGUAAUUAUUUUUACAAGUAAUACUUGUUUUAUAUAGAUUUAUUAUUUUCUUUAAUUUUUAGAUUAUUAUUAAUUAUUUGUGUUUUAGUGGAGU
rnacentral:rRNA from 1 species